AGCAGCCGCGGUAAUUCCAGCUCCAAUAGCGUAUAUUAAAGUUGUUGCAGUUAAAAAGCUCGUAGUUGAAUUUCGGGAUCAGUACGCUGGUCGUGCCUUUGGUAUGUACUGGUGUCACUGAUUCCUCCCUUCUGAAGAACCGUUAUGCCAUUUAUUUGGUGUGGCGGGGAAUCAGGACUGUUACUUUGAAAAAUUAGAGUGUUUAAAGCAGGCUCGCGCUUGAAUACAUUAGCAUGGAAUAAUGAAAUAGGACGUUUGAUUCUAUUUUGUUGGUUUCUAGGAUCGACGUAAUGAUUAAUAGGGAUAGUUGGGGGCAUUAGUAUUCAAUUGUCAGAGGUGAAAUUCUUGGAUUUAUUGAAGACUAACUACUGCGAAAGCAUUUGCCAAGGAU
rnacentral:rRNA from 1 species